UGAACAUACAGGUGCAUGUAUCUUUUUCAAGGAAAGUUUUGUCCAGAUAUAUGCCCAAGAGUGGGAUUUCUGGGUCAUAUGGUAGUUCUAUAUUGAGCUUUUAGAGGUACCACCAUAGUGGCUGUACCAAUUUACAUUCCCACCAACAGUGUAGGAGGGUACCCUUUGCUCCACACCCUCUCCAGCAUUUGUUAUUUGUUGUUUUGUUAAUGAUGACCAUUCUGACUGGUGUGAGGUGGUACCUCACUGUAGUUUUGAGUUUCAUUUCUCUAAUAAUUAGUGAUGUUGAUCAUUUUAUUAUGUGCUUGUUGUCCAUCCUUUUUUCUUCUUUGGAGAAAUGUCUAUUCAGGUCUUCAGCCCAUUGAUCAAUUGGUUGUUGGUUUUUUUUGCUGUUGAGUUGUAUAAGUUGUUUGUAUAUUUUAGAGAUUAAGCCCUUGUCAGUUGCCUAGUUUGAAACUAUUUUCUCCAAUUCUGUAGGUUGUCUUUUUGUUUUUGUUAUGGUAUUCUUUGCUCUGAAAAAGCUUGUCAGCUUGAUUAGGUCCCAUUGGUUUACUUUUGUUUUUAUUUUUGUUGCCUUGGGGGACUGACCUAAGUAAACAUUUGUGCAGUUGAUAUCAGAGAAUGUUUUGACUGUGCUCUCUUCCUAGGGGUUGAAUGGUGUCUUGUCUUAUAUUUAAGUCUUUAAGCCAUUUGGAGUUUAUUUUUGUGCAUGGUGUGAUGGUGUGUUCCAGUUUCAUUGAUUUACACACAGGUUUCCAGUUUUCUUAGCACCACUUGCUGAAAAAUAACUGUCUUUUUCCCAUCUUAUAUUCUUGCCUCCUUGGUUGAGGAUUAAUUCACCAUAGAUGUCUGGGUUUAUUACUGGGUUCUCUGUUUUGUUCCCUUGGUCCAUCUAUCAGUUUUUGUACCAGUACCACACUGUCUUGAUUACUGUGGUUUUGUCAUAUUGUCUGAAAUCAGGGAGAGUUAUGUCUCCUGCUUUGUGUUUUUACCUCAGGAUUGCUUUGGCAAUUCUGGGUGUUUUUAUGUUCCAUGUAAAUUUUUGGAUUGUUUGUUCAAGUUCUGUGAAUAGUAUCAUGGGUUAUUUGAUACGGAUGCAUUGAAUCUGUAGAUUGCUUUGGGUAGUAUGGCCAUUUUAAUUAAUUGGAUAUUAAUUCUUCUGGUCCAGCAGCAUGGAAUAUCUUUCCACUUCUUUGAAUCCUCUUUAAUUUCCUCGAUUAAUACUUCUAUAGUUCUCAACAUAUGUCUUUCACCUCCUUAGGAGAUGUAUUCCUAGGUAUUUAAAUUUUUUGUGUGCUAUUUUAAAAGGUAUUAUAUUUUUAUAUUUGUUUUCUAAUAUUUGAUAGUAUACGGAAGUGCAACCAAUUUCUGAAUGUUAAUCUUGUAUCCUGCUACUUUGCUGAAUUUGUUGAUCAAUUUGAGUAGUUUCUGCAUGGAGUCCUUAGGGUUUUCUAUAUAUAUAGUAUCAUGUCAUCUGCAUAGAGUGACAAUUUUACCUCUUCUUUCCUAAUUUGGAUACCUUAAAAGGUAUUCCUUUGUUUGUCAGAUUGCUGUGGCUUGGACUUCCAAUACUCUUUUAAAAAACUGAUCAGUUUUUAAAUUCUCACUUAAAAUUUUUACAAGUUUUUUUCAUUCAUUAAAUAUGUUUAAACUGAAGCUUUUAUGUUUUAUUAGGAUCCUUUAAAUUAAUUCCAUCAGAAAGCCACAGUAUAAAUUAGUUUUCUGUUUUUUUUCCCCCCCAAAAAACAUACAUGAGGAGACACAUGAUUAUUGUUAGCAUGGUGUUUUUUCUCAGAACCAAGCCAAGGGUGACUGACAGUCAAAGUGACAAAAGGAGAGGUCUUUUUCAUAGUGUGUUGGUACCCAAAAGGUGGAAACUUAACACUUGAAUAAUGAAAGAGGGGAUUCUGAGUGCUCAGAGUUGGUUCACUUCGAGUACAGAUAGACCAUUUCCUUGUAUUUGAUAAGAGCAGCUGAUAUCAGGAGGCUAGUUUAAGAAUAGCCUGCAUUAGAAGACAGAUGAUGUGAGAAAACAUGCAAGAAGAGUCACAAUCCUCCUGUACAUACUGAAGGAGUUUGCUAAGCUUGGCUCAAUUUACAGCCCUUUCAGCUGGUCUCUUGAGUUAGCAACACCAUGCCAGGCUCCAUCAUGCAGUGGUGUAUGGAAGCUGCCUGCCACUGUACUCUAAUUUGCUCUUCUCAGGAGGUAGGCUUACUUUAUCUCCUUCAAAUGCCCUUCAAAUACGGCCUUUGGUUGAGAAGCUAUCUUUGGAAGGAAUUGGGGAAAGGUGGUAAUCUUCAGUAUAUUCUAAGCUUUCCAUUUUCAAAAAAUAAUAUAGGAAAUAUUUUAUAUAGCACAUUUUGGUCUUCUGAACCAAGCCUGCUAAAAACUGGUCUAUAUUGCUCCUUUACAAAAUCGGAAAUAAGUAAACAAACAACCUCUUUAUAUGUCCAUUAAAGUAGACUGUCAAACACAUUCCAAUCUAGACCUUCUAAAUCUCUUAAAGUCUUCUAGUCUUGUGGGGAAUAAUUUACUGUUUGAAAGUGGUAUGGGUGAUUGCUAAUAGGUUUAUUAGCUCUGGUGAGUGUUAAUGAUCCUAUUUAAUUUCUUGCCUGAGAGGUGAAAAAUUUUUUUUUCUACUCAAAGUAUCUCAAAACCUCAGAGACUAGAGUUCUUCCUUCCUCCAUCAGUAAUGAUGACUCCUAUAUCAGCUGCAAGAUUCAUUUGACAUUUAUGCUUAAAGUCUUGAGAAAUAUUAAAAAAAGAACUCUGAAAUAUUCAGAAUGUCAUUUGUACCACUCCUGCUUCAAUUAUAGGCAAAAUACAAGGUUAAAUUGAUCAUGAUGUAAAAAUCAAUUUAAGGGGGAAGAGAAUUCAAGAAAAUACACAUGGACAAAUUAAAGAAAAAAUACAGAGAUAUAGAGAGAGGGAUUGUUCAUAAUCAGGAAAGACAAUUAGAGUCACUAAUGAAAAAGCUGGUUUCCAGCAGAGAGAUAGCUUGACAUAGAAGAGAAUGUGUUAAUUAAACUCAGUCAAGAGCAAAUACUACACUAUCAAAUUUUUAAAUAGCCUAAAAACCGUGAGAUUAAAAUAAUUUGAAAAGUGGAAAGUAUAAUUUUUUUAAAAAUUGCCAAACUAAAGUGUAGCUUAACAAGAUAAUGAAUAAAAUGAGUACAAAACUAAUAAAUAAAAUAAUGAUAAAUCAAAUGUUAUCAGUUGAGAUGAGACUGUUUUAAGGGUGUGUCCUUAAUUCAAUAUGACCCCUAUACUUAAGAAACAGGACAUAAUCACAGAGACAAAAAAAGAAAAUAUGGCUCUGACAUUAGAGACUAAAGUGAUUCAUUUACAAACGUUUACUGAGGAUUGCCAGCAAAAAACAGAAGUUAGCAGAGAAUAGCAAAGAUUCUUUCUACAGGUUUUAGAACAUGCCUCUACUGAAACUCUGAUUUGAAUUUAGCCUCUGGGACUGUGAGACAAAAAGCUUCUGUUGUUUUAAGCCACCUCUUUUGUGUCACUUUGUUAUGGCAGUCUUGGGAAAUGCGUAUGUCUUAUACAAGUACAAAGAGUAAUCUAAUAAUGAAUAAAAUGCAUACAAAGACAAUAAGUGCAAAGAGUGAUAAGUAAAAUAAGUGGACAUCUACAAAUUUAUUUUCAUAGGAGGAAAAUGUGUUUUUAGUGUUUCCAUUCACAUAAAUGUUAACUAUUACAAACAGAAUGAUAACAAAGAUCUCCCCAUAUUCUGACAGUUUGUAUGAGCUUAUUAAAUAUAACUUUGAUUAUAUAUGAGUAUAAUAUAAAUAUAAAUAAGCUCAAUAUGGCCACAUUAGGAAAAUAAUAUAAAAUUUUUAAUAUUGGAAAGAAUAUUUAUAGAUACAUUGGUCAAGGUAUUAGAAGGUAUCUUAGAGAUUAAAAUGAUUUAUCUGAAUAGAACUGAGUAUGAUAUGUGAACUUGGGUUUCCCUAAGUUACACAGUCAUCAGUUAGUUUAUUUCAUUUGCUCAUAUUUUAAAGUGUUAUCUUGAGAAGGGACUUACCUUGGAUCUUCACUGUAAUUCCAUUAAUGUAACUGUAAAAAAAAAAAGUCCCCCAAAAAAACAAAGCAGUAAGAGUUCUAAGAAAGGGUUUGUUUGGUGUUCACCAGGGUACCAUAGUUUCAGUGAAAUAACUGAAUAAAUGAUAAAGGAAUGUGGAACCAAGCUGAGAGAGACAAAAUAUGAAGGUUUUAAAAUGCAGCUUAGUGUAUAUAGGAUUUAUGAAACAAACCAAUCUCUCCUAUCUCUAACCACAGACAUUCUGGUAAAAUUAAUAAAUG
rnacentral:lncRNA from 1 species